CCUACGGGGGGCUGCAGUGGGGAAUAUUGGACAAUGGGCGAAAGCCUGAUCCAGCCAUGCCGCGUGUGUGAAGAAGGCCUUCGGGUUGUAAAGCACUUUCAGUGGGGAAGAAAGCCUUGGGGCUAAUACCCUCGAGGAAGGACAUCACCCACAGAAGAAGCACCGGCUAACUCCGUGCCAGCAGCCGCGGUAAUACGGAGGGUGCGAGCGUUAAUCGGAAUUACUGGGCGUAAAGCGCGCGUAGGCGGUCUGAUAAGCCGGUUGUGAAAGCCCCGGGCUCAACCUGGGAACGGCAUCCGGAACUGUCAGGCUAGAGAGCAGGAGAGGAAGGUAGAAUUCCCGGUGUAGCGGUGAAAUGCGUAGAGAUCGGGAGGAAUACCAGUGGCGAAGGCGGCCUUCUGGACUGACACUGACGCUGAGGUGCGAAAGCGUGGGUAGCAAACAGGAUUAGAUACCCCUGUAUC
rnacentral:rRNA from 1 species